rfam:Gossypium hirsutum cultivar TM-1 chromosome 13, whole genome shotgun sequence
AUGGUGGCCGAGGCUCCCACACGACCAAGGGCCUAUUUUGCCGAUGGUGCUCGAGGCUCCUGCACGACCAAGGGCUUAGUUUGUCGAUGGUUCCCGAGCCUCUCGCACGACCAAGAACGAAAGUUGGGGGCUCGAAGAAGAUCAGAUACCGUCCUAGUCUCAACCAUAAACGAUACCGACCAGGGAUCGGCGGAUGUUGCUUUUAGGACUCCACCGACACCUUAUGAGAAAUCGAAGUCUUUGGGUUCCAAGGGGAGUAUGGUCGCAAGGCUGAAACUUAAAGGAAUUGACCAGUUUCGAAUGCGGGCAAGGGCUUGGCAAGGCCAAGGCGCCGACUUGGGAUGCACAAGGCGUCCCUAAACGUGACGGGGGCGAAAGGGCAAGCCAAGCUCGAGCCCAUAGCAAUGCAUAAGCCACCCCAAGAGAUCUUUG